AAUGUUCCUCAAUGGGCGGAAGCCUGCCGGAUCAAGGCCGCGCGAGUGAAGGAGGUUUUCCGAUCGUAAAACUCUGUCGUAUGGGAAGAACAAGAACAGUAGUAACUGGCUGUACCUUGACGGCACCUUAUUAGAACGCCACCGCUAACUACGUGCCAGCACCCGCGGUAAUACGUAGGUGGCAAGCGUUGUCAGGAAUUAUUGGGCGUAAAGCGAGCGCAGGCAGGGCGUUAAGUCUGAUGUGAAAGCCCACGGCUCAACCGUGGACGGUCAUUGGAAACUAGGGGACUUGAGUGCAGAAGAGGAAAGUGGAGUUACAAGUGUAGCGGUGAAAUGCGUAGAGAUUUGGAGGAACACCAGUGGCGAAGGCGACUUUCUGGACUUAUACUGACGAUGAGGAACGAAGGCGUGGGGAGCAGACAGG
rnacentral:rRNA from 1 species